ACACGACUACAUUAGAUACCCGGGUAGUCGUAGCCGUAAACGAUACUCGCUAGGUGUCGGCCACGGUGCGACCGUUGUCGGUGCCGUAGGGAAGCCGUGAAGCGAGCCACCUGGGAAGUACGGCCGCAAGGCUGAAACUUAAAGGAAUUGGCGGGGGAGCACCACAACGGGUGGAGCUUGCGGUUUAAUUGGAUUCAACGCCGGAAAUCUUACCGGGACCGACAGCAACAUGAAGGCCAGGCUGAAGACUUUGCCGGAUUAGCUG
rnacentral:rRNA from 1 species